CCUACGGGAGGCAGCAGUAAGGAAUAUUGGUCAAUGGGCGCAAGCCUGAACCAGCCAUGCCGCGUGCAGGAAGACGGCCCUAUGGGUUGUAAACUGCUUUUGAACAAGAGAAAACCUCGGUACGUGUACCGAGCUGAUAGUAUUGUUAGAAUAAGCAUCGGCUAACUUCGUGCCAGCAGCCGCGGUAAGACGAAGGAUGCAAGCGUUAUCCGGAUUCAUUGGGUUUAAAGGGUGCGUAGGCGGCCUGAUAAGUCAGUGGUGAAAUCCCUCAGCUUAACUGAGAAACUGCCAUUGAUACUGUCGGGCUUGAGUACAGAUGAUGUGGGCGGAAUAUGACAUGUAGUGGUGAAAUACUUAGAUAUGUCAUAGAACACCGAUUGCGAAGGCAGCUCACAAAACUGUAACUGACGCUGAGGCACGAAAGUGCGGGGAUCAAACAGGAUUAGAUACCCUGGUAGUCCGCACCGUAAACGAUGAUUACUCGUUGUUGGCAAUAUGACCGUNAGCGACCAAGCGAAAGCGAAUAAGUAACUCCACCGUGGGGAGUACGCCGGCACGGUAGAAACGUUAAAGGAGUUAGACGGACGAGAGAGNGCGACGGACGACGACGAGGGAGGAGG
rnacentral:rRNA from 1 species